rnacentral:rRNA from 1 species
CCUACGGGAGGCAGCAGUGGGGAAUCUUGCGCAAUGGGCGAAAGCCUGACGCAGCGACGCCGCGUGCGGGAAGAAGGCCUUAGGGUUGUAAACCGCUUUCAGGAGGGACGAAGCCACUCGGGUGAACAGCCCAGAGGGUGACGGUACCUCCAGAAGAAGCCCCGGCUAACUACGUGCCAGCAGCCGCGGUAAU